GAUGAACGCUCGCGGCAGGCUUAACACAUGCAAGUCGAGGGGCAGCGCGGGAUAGCAAUAUCCUGGCGGCGACCGACGGAAGGGUGCGUAACGCGUGAGCGACAUGCCCGUUGCCCGGGGACAACCGGUGGAAACGCCGACUAAUCCCCGAUGGGAUACGAUGCUUCAUGGCAUUGUAUUGAAAGUUACGGCGGCGACGGAUUGGCUCGCGUCCGAUUAGCUGGUUGGCGGGGUAACGGCCCACCAAGGCUGCGAUCGGUAGGGGUUCUGAGAGGAAGGCCCCCCACAAUGGGACUGAGACACGGCCCAUACUCCUACGGGAGGCAGCAGUGAGGAAUAUUGGUCAAUGGGCGGAAGCCUGAACCAGCCAUGCCGCGUGCGGGAAGGAGGCCCUAUGGGCUGUGAACCGCUUUUGCCUGGGGGCAAUAAGGGCGUCGCGCACGUCCGAUGAGAGUACCAGGCGAAUAAGCAUCGGCUAACUCCGUG
rnacentral:rRNA from 1 species